AACGAACGCUGGCGGCAGGCCUAACACAUGCAAGUCGAGCGAACCCUUCGGGGUUAGCGGCGGACGGGUUAGUAACGCGUGGGAAUAUACCCUUUGGUACGGAAUAGCCUCGGGAAACUGAGAGUAAUACCGUAUGUGCCCUUGGGGGAAAGAUUUAUCGCCAAAGGAUUAGCCCGCGUUGGAUUAGAUAGUUGGUGGGGUAAUGGCCUACCAAGUCUACGAUCCAUAGCUGGUUUGAGAGGAUGAUCAGCAACACUGGGACUGAGACACGGCCCAGACUCCUACGGGAGGCAGCAGUGGGGAAUCUUAGACAAUGGGCGCAAGCCUGAUCUAGCCAUGCCGCGUGGACGAUGAACGGCCUUAGGGUUGUAAAGUCCUUUCAGAUGGGAAGAUAAUGACGGUACCAUCAGAAGAAGCCCCGGUNUAACUCCGUGCCAGCAGCCGUCGGUAAUGUGACUACUG
rnacentral:rRNA from 1 species